GCCGGUUUAGCUCAGUUGGUAGAGCAACCGCCUUGUAAGCGGUAGGUCACCUGUUCAAGUCAGGUAACCGGCACCA
rnacentral:tRNA from 1 species